UUGAACGCUGGCGGCAGGCCUAACACAUGCAAGUCGAACGGUAACAGGAAACAGCUUGCUGUUUCGCUGACGAGUGGCGGACGGGUGAGUAAUGUCUGGGAAACUGCCUGAUGGAGGGGGAUAACUACUGGAAACGGUAGCUAAUACCGCAUAACGUCGCAAGACCAAAGAGGGGGACCUUCGGGCCUCUUGCCAUCGGAUGUGCCCAGAUGGGAUUAGCUUGUUGGUGGGGUAACGGCUCACCAAGGCGACGAUCCCUAGCUGGUCUGAGAGGAUGACCAGCCACACUGGAACUGAGACACGGUCCAGACUCCUACGGGAGGCAGCAGUGGGGAAUAUUGCACAAUGGGCGCAAGCCUGAUGCAGCCAUGCCGCGUGUAUGAAGAAGGCCUUCGGGUUGUAAAGUACUUUCAGCGGGGAGGAAGGGAGUAAAGUUAAUACCUUUGCUCAUUGACGUUACCCGCAGAAGAAGCACCGGCUAACUCCGUGCCAGCAGCCGCGGUAAUACGGAGGGUGCAAGCGUUAAUCGGAAUUACUGGGCGUAAAGCGCACGCAGGCGGUUUGUUAAGUCAGAUGUGAAAUCCCCGGGCUCAACCUGGGAACUGCAUCUGAUACUGGCAAGCUUGAGUCUCGUAGAGGGGGGUAGAAUUCCAGGUGUAGCGGUGAAAUGCGUAGAGAUCUGGAGGAAUACCGGUGGCGAAGGCGGCCCCCUGGACGAAGACUGACGCUCAGGUGCGAAAGCGUGGGGAGCAAACAGGAUUAGAUACCCUGGUAGUCCACGCCGUAAACGAUGUCGACUUGGAGGUUGUGCCCUUGAGGCGUGGCUUCCGGAGCUAACGCGUUAAGUCGACCGCCUGGGGAGUACGGCCGCAAGGUUAAAACUCAAAUGAAUUGACGGGGGCCCGCACAAGCGGUGGAGCAUGUGGUUUAAUUCGAUGCAACGCGAAGAACCUUACCUGGUCUUGACAUCCACGGAAGUUUUCAGAGAUGAGAAUGUGCCUUCGGGAACCGUGAGACAGGUGCUGCAUGGCUGUCGUCAGCUCGUGUUGUGAAAUGUUGGGUUAAGUCCCGCAACGAGCGCAACCCUUAUCCUUUGUUGCCAGCGGUCCGGCCGGGAACUCAAAGGAGACUGCCAGUGAUAAACUGGAGGAAGGUGGGGAUGACGUCAAGUCAUCAUGGCCCUUACGACCAGGGCUACACACGUGCUACAAUGGCGCAUACAAAGAGAAGCGACCUCGCGAGAGCAAGCGGACCUCAUAAAGUGCGUCGUAGUCCGGAUUGGAGUCUGCAACUCGACUCCAUGAAGUCGGAAUCGCUAGUAAUCGUCGAUCAGAAUGCCACGGUGAAUACGUUCCCGGGCCUUGUACACACCGCCCGUCACACCAUGGGAGUUGGUAACGCCCGAAGUCAGUGACCCAACCGUAAGGAGGGAGCUGCCGAAGGUGGGACCGAUAACUGGGGUG
rnacentral:rRNA from 1 species